CGACCACUCUCCCUCUCUCAUUCACUCUCAUCUGAUUUUUUAAGACCAUUCAAAGUGUUCUCUCAAUAUUCAACCUCAAGAACACCAAGGAAAACUUGGAGGCUAAGUCUUGGUCUAGGAAGUAUUUUCCCUAAGUUGGUUAGGGUUUUUGAAAGGUUUUGGAGGAGCCAAAGCUAAUAGGAAGGUCCAAACCUUAAGCAAGAACACCAAAGAGGUCAGUGCAAGGGCAAGGCAGAGCAGUGAGCGCUGGAGUCUUCCUUGCAAAUGUACAUGUGGACCGACCUUUUGGGAAGCCUUUUUAUUUUUGGAAAUGUUGUGUAAUUUUCCUAAACUAGGCUCACUCUAAUCUUUAUAAAACAUGUUUGUAAUUAAAUGUUAAGUAUGGCCAUACGACUUUUUAAAAAGUUUUUUUUUCUA